CCCCUCUCAGGGUCACACCUGGAGAGUUUCUAGUCCUCUACCAGUCUCGGCUAUGGGAGGCAGAGUUAAGCAGAGGUCUGUCCAUUCCAUGCCUAGCUUGGCUAGUGGUUAGCGAGUGGAAGGCAAUCUGCUACAAGU